GGUCUUAUAUUCAAUAAAUGAUUUUAAAUUGCAAAUUUAAAGGUAAAAUAAAAAUUUUUAAGGCUU
rnacentral:tRNA from 1 species